rnacentral:rRNA from 1 species
GUCGAGAAUUUUUCUCAAUGGGGGAAACCCUGAAGGAGCGACGCCGCGUGGAGGAUGAAGGUCUUCGGGUUGUAAACUCCUGUCAUUUGGGAACAAGUGUCGGUACCUAACUGCUACCGGCUUGAUAGUACCAGAAGAGGAAGGGACGGCUAACUCUGUGCCAGCAGCCGCGGUAAUACAGAGGUCUCAAGCGUUGUUCGGAUUCAUUGGGCGUAAAGGGUGUGUAGGUGGCGCCGUAAGUCGGGUGUGAAAUUUCGGAGCUUAACUCCGAAACUGCAUUCGAUACUGCGGUGCUUGAGGACUGGAGAGGAGACUGGAAUUCAUGGUGUAGCAGUGAAAUGCGUAGAGAUCAUGAGGAAGACCAGUGGCGAAGGCGGGUCUCUGGACAGUUCCUGACACUGAGACACGAAGGCCAGGGGAGCAAACGGGAUUAGAAACCCGGGUAGUCC